UCUGACCUCAAAUCAGGUAGGACUACCCGCUGAACUUAAGCAUAUCAAUAAGCAAGGGAAAAUUAUAGAAUAAUUUUGUCUGGCUUUCCACGACGACAAUAUCAUAUUCCAUAACA
rnacentral:rRNA from 1 species